ensembl:misc_RNA 7SK 7SK RNA
GGAUGUGGGGGCGAUCUGACUGCAACAUCUUUCAUCCCACUGAUCGCCAGGGUUGAUUCGGCUGAUCUGGCUGGCUAGGCGGGUGUCCCCUUCUUCCCUCACUGCUCCGUGUGCGUCCCUCCUGAAGCUGCACGGUGGGUUGAAGAGGACGACCACCCCCGAUAGAGGAGGACAGUAUACGAGUAGCUGCGCUCCCCUGCUAGAACCUCCAAACAAGCUCUCGAGGUCCAUAAUACACAAAGUUGACCACAGUGAUAUUCUUCCAUGUUGGCUCACUCUCCAGACCCCAU